GCCUUUAAAGGAGAAGCGGUAGGUCAGGUGAGAUAAAUUCCGGCUCCAGGAUAGAAGGGAACUGCAGCGCAGCCACCUGGCAUGUGAGGAACUCAUGCAGCAGCUGCUUACCUGGCCAGCCAUGAGGAUUGAUGACUGAGCAGAACAACCGAUCCUUCAGGGGGAUGUGGUGAUGAAACCUUCCAGGAGCCAGACAGACAAUAAUAAUCUUCCAUGAGGCCCAAGAGAGAAAAUGUAGAAACUAAUGCUGAGACAUUCUCCAAGGAAAUGGACCAGCCAGAUCACAAGCAGUGGCGACCAUCCUCCAGGUAACACCUCGUGCCACGCUGUGAGCAGCCAGCCAGCCACCAGACAUGUGACGCAAACCUCUAACGUGAAAGCAAGAUGCCAUAGGAAUCCUGGCAUGCAGUGAGGCCUGGAUCUCCAGCAACACAAGAAAAAAAGGUAGAGGCUGACAUAGUUUUAAAUUGUAAAACAACUGGUAGUGCACACAUAUAAUCCCAGUCAGUAUUCAGGAAGCUGAGGAAGAAGGAUUUGUGAGUUCAAGGCUGCCUUGGGCUAGACCGAGACAUUAAUAAAGCAUGCCUAGGCUACAUUGACUGUGCCCCACUGCCAUCAAAUCACUUGGAGACUUAUAAUACUGAUUUUGUGAAGGAGCAUAUAUUUUCAAGGAAUAAACAUACAGAAAACAAAAGCACAGGUUAAAUGAGAGCCUGCUAGCAGAUUUUUUUUUUUUCAUUAGAAAACUUUAAGUAGAAAUUUUUGGUUGUGGUGGUUGUUUGUUGA